rnacentral:lncRNA from 1 species
ACACAUAGUAAUACAAAAGACGUGAAGGCUAUAAUCUAGUAAGAGUGUAAUUGGUACAACCUCUGAAGAUGGUGGCCCUGUGGCUCUCAGCACCUGAUCAAUGAUCCCUUCACUCUUAACAUCACAAAACAGAGAAAUGCAAUCGU